GCCUGGGUGGCUCAGUCGGUUGAGCGUCCGACUUCAGCUCAGGUCACGAUCUCGCGGUCCAUGAGUUCGAGCCCCAUGUCGGGCU
rnacentral:tRNA from 1 species